AGGUUUCUUCAAUACUAAUGCACAUGGAAUAUAUUCAUAAUGCACAAAUAUAUGGACAAAGAACAGGAUCAGAGGUUUCAGGUUGUUAUCUUGUUAGUGUGAAGAAAAUGAUUCCAGAAAAUGAUUAGUACCGCAUAUCUCAGCAUUCACGUCAUGAUAUCUCUGGUGGAUGAGCAUCUGACACGCGUCGUGGUGUCCUAGCGCUGCGGACAAAUGAAGCAUGCCACUCCUUUGGUUGUCCAGGUUGGACAUGCCUUCCACCGCAUCCUCAAGACCUUCCCCUGAGUUUCCUAGCAGCAUUCUCCAGCAAUCUCCAGAGAAAAACGGAACAAAAUCCCCAAUCAAAUUCGGUCAGCAAAAAUCCCCCAAUCAACGUGAAAGAAGACAUCGAUUAGCCCACUUACAGUGAGUGCGGAGUCGGUUCUCCAUGCCGGCCUCGAGAAGCUGUCUCAGUUGAGCCUCCUGCAGUCUGAACUUGGCGAUUGCCUGUUGUAUUCUGUCGAGAAUCAGCGCUUGGUGGGUGCAUUCUAGCACUCAUAUUUCUUGAGAUGUUGGCUGUUCCUGACCUUGCAGGGGUGUAACCUUCUGGUACUUCAUAUUGGAUUUCAGCAGGUUCAAGAUCAUCUACCGCAUCAAAGAAUUCUUCUUGGGGAGAAACAUAUGCAUGCAGAACAGUAACAGAAAGUCAGCACUUUAGAUAGAGUACAUAUCUGCUAAAACAAGA
rnacentral:lncRNA from 1 species